GACGAACGCUGGCGGCGUGCCUAAUACAUGCGAGUAGAACGCACAGUUUAUACCGUAGCUUGCUACACCAUAGACUGUGAGUUGCGAACGGGUGAGUAACGCGUAGGUAACCUGCCUGGUAGCGGGGGAUAACUAUUGGAAACGAUAGCUAAUACCGCAUAAUAUUAAUUUUUGCAUGAUAAUUAAUUGAAAGGUGCAAUUGCACCACUACCAGAUGGACCUGCGUUGUAUUAGCUAGUAGGUGAGGUAACGGCUCACCUAGGCGACGAUACAUAGCCGACCUGAGAGGGUGAUCGGCCACACUGGGACUGAGACACGGCCCAGACUCCUACGGGAGGCAGCAGUAGGGAAUCUUCGGCAAUGGACGAAAGUCUGACCGAGCAACGCCGCGUGAGUGAAGAAGGUUUUCGGAUCGUAAAGCUCUGUUGUAAGAGAAGAACGGGUGUGAGAGUGGAAAGUUCACACUGUGACGGUAUCUUACCAGAAAGGGACGGCUAACUACGUG
rnacentral:rRNA from 1 species